UCAUUGGUGGUUCAGUGGUGGUAGGAUUCUCACCUUCCAUGUGGGAGACCUGGGUUUGAGUCCUAGCCAGUGCG
rnacentral:tRNA from 1 species